UAUGAGAUGAGCUGUGAGUGGGCAGAAGUAGAACACGAGGUCUCUCUCUCUCUCUCCCCCAAGUUCCAUCCACGUAAAGCAAUGGACGGACAAUCAAUCAGUUGAGUCCAAAUGUUAGAUCCUACGUGACCAAAGGGGGUGAAUGUGAAGCUAGCUUUAGUUUAUUCCGGAUGAAGUUUUUUUUGGGUAAGUUGAUCAAUUGGUCAGUAAAAUAUUAACACACAUAAAGUCUCGCCUACAUGUUAAUACUCUAUUGGUCAAUUGACCAACUUACCCAAAAAUAAACUUGAUGUUAAUCACUUCCGUUUAUUCUCUAUACCAUUCCAUAUAAAGAAGUGUCAAGAAUAGGGUUAAUAAUAAUGAAAAUAUGAAGCCCCUUCACUUUUAAAAAAUUGUUAUUUUUACAUAAAAUAUAUCGUUAUAAGAUCAAUAAGGAUGAUUUUUAUGUAAAAAUUUUAUUUUUUAAUACAAAUUUAUUUCUACUUAUAUCUCUCUCUUCUUUCUUUUUUUCCCGUUAAAUACUUUUAUCCUUCUCUUUACUUCUGCAAAUAAAGCAUAUCAGCAGCAGGGGAUAGAGCAUCCCGAGAGAGAAAAGAAAAACACACAACUAGCUAGUGGGUAAAAAGAGCGCACCGCACACGUGAGUAAAAGUAGAUAAAUCUAACAAUCUUGCCACCUCCGUCUCUCUCUCU
rnacentral:lncRNA from 1 species